rnacentral:rRNA from 1 species
UCCGAAGGGGGCUAGCGUUGCUCGGAAUCACUGGGCGUAAAGGGCGCGUAGGCGGCCAUUCAAGUCGGAGGUGAAAGCCCAGGGCUCAACCCUGGAAUUGCCUUCGAUACUGUCUGGCUAGAGACCGGAAGAGGUAAGUGGAACUGCGAGUGUAGAGGUGAAAUUCGUAGAUAUUCGCAAGAACACCAGUGGCGAAGGCGGCUUACUGGUCCGGUUCUGACGCUGAGGCGCGAAAGCGUGGGGAGCAAACAGG